CGCAUAAUACCAGAACCAGAGACAUAUAUAUUGUAUCUAAUAUCUCUGCCAGAACUAAAAAAUAAACUACAGUAAGUCCACACUACACAUAAGAGGGUAUGGAUGUGAAUUAACAGAAUAGAGAACAAAGGACAAAGAAAAAAAGGAAUAAAGAAUAGUGAAAGAAAGAGAAUAAUGGAAAAAAGUGUAAGUUAUUAAAAAUAUAACUAAAACAAGAAUGUGUCCCCAGUACACGGAUGCCCCACUCGCACUAUCAUUUUCUAUGUUCAGUGGACCGUGAAAUUGGGGUAAGAACUCUAAUUUGACAUUAAAAUUAGAAAGAUCAUACCAUAAGGAACAUAUAUACUAAGUUUCAGGUUGAUUGGACUUCAACUUCAUCAAAAACUACCUCGACCAAAAACUUUAACCUGAAACAGGACGAACGAACGGACGAACGAACGGAGGCACAGACCAGAAAACAUAAUGCCCCUCUACUAUCGUAGGUGGGGCAUAAAAAGAAGACAGAAAAAAAGACACCUCUCCGAGACGAGC
rnacentral:lncRNA from 1 species